CUAACUGGGAGGACCAACCCCAGGUCUCAGACAGUGAUAAGGAAAGGCCUAACUGGGAGAAAGACCCCAGGUCUCAGACAGUGAUAAGGAAAGGCCUAACUGGGAGGACCAACCCCAGGUCUCAGACAGUGAUAAGGAAAGGCCUAACUGAGAGGACCAACCCCGGUCUCAGACAGUGAUAAGGAAAGGCCUAACUGAGAGGACCAACCCCAGGUCUCAGACAGUGAUAAUGAAAGGCCUAACUGGGAGGACCAACCCCAGGUCUCAGACAGUGAUAAGGAAAGGCCUAACUGGGAGGACCAACACCAGGUCUCAGACAGUGAUAAGGAAAGGCCUAACUGGGAGGACGAACCCCAGGUCUCAGACAGUGAUAAGGAAAGGCCUAACUGGGAGAAAGACCCCAGGUCUCAGACAGUGAUAAGGAAAGGCCUAACUGGGAGGACCAACCCCAGGUCUCAGACAGUGAUAUGGAAAGGCCUAACUGAGAGGACCAACCCCAGGUCUCAGACAGUGAUAAGGAAAGGCCUAACUGGGAGAAAGACCCCAGGUCUCAGACAGUGAUAAGGAAAGGCCUAACUGGGAGAAAGACCCCAGGUCUCAGACAGUGAUAAGGAAAGACCUAACUGGGAGAAAGACCCCAGGUCUCAGACAGUGAUAUGGAAAGGCCUAACUGAGAGGACCAACCCCAGGUCUCAGACAGUGAUAAGGAAAGGCCUAACUGGGAGGACCAACCCCAGGUCUCAGACAGUGAUAAGGAAAGGCCUAACUGGGAGGAAA